GCGAGAUCUGACGAUGCCGAGAAGUUCUCCGGCAAAGCUGACAGACUCGACAAGCUCAGACGAACGAGACGAUCUCUCUCCCAACGCCUAAGAAACACUAACAAAGAGAAUUACAAAUGUGUGUUGUCAGCUUUUGGAUUUAAAGGAUGUUGUGGAGAAUAUGUGUGGUGAUAUGCAUAUAUAAGUAUCUCACUUCCUUAAGGCAAUACAAUGCUACUAUUUGUAGUUUGACUAGCAAUGUUUUAGUAUGUGCAGUAUAUGAGGUGGAACGUUGGUGUUUUGGUAGUGUAACGUUCUAUUUAUACUUUGUGAGAUUUAUUUUUUAUGUCUUGUUUUGUGUAUAAUAUCUACAGAAGCAGUGGAGAUGAAUGAUGAGUUUGUUGAGUUACGAAAGCAUACUAUUUUUGAAUCUUAUUUUUGGAAGUGAAUGCUGAUGCGUAGAAAUAAUAUGUGACUGGCUUUUGUUCAGAUUUUGAAAAUUUACGAGGUUGGUGAGCUGUUUGAAGAGGCAAGAGAGACUCUGAAGAAGAAUGUGGUUUGUGCUAUCAAAGAAUUACGUAUUUAUAACGCUUUAUAAAAGUUGCAGAGUUGGCUUCUUAGUACAUUCUUCUCUCUCAUCUUCUUUAGACAUCUCUUAUACUAAAACAAUUGUAUCUCUCUUUAGUAGUUGCAUAGUUGAAAAUAUUAGUUGGACAUGUAAGUGAGUUUGGUUUCAAUUGUUUCUUUUAUAGAAGAGUGAGAUAUGGAGAAGCCUUGAUGUUCUCAGACUAUGUUAAAGCAAUAUAUCCCUUGUUGAAGGACGUGGCUCUUUCACCAGAUAUGUCUUUUUUGUGUUGAUUGUCUUUUGGAGGGAUUUUAGAAAAAUUACCUUAUAAGCCAUUGUAAAUAAAUUUAUAAACGCUUAUAAAUCACUUUGAGUUUCUUACA